GUACAAUUCUUACAUUCCUGUGUGUAAAAGUGAAGUGAUGUUGAAAGUAGAAGCAGCAAAGGUCACUUCUGUUUCACAUCAGCCUCGUUUGUUCUUCAAUGAGAUACAACAGUGUGAGGUCGUCGUGUGUCCACUAAUAGUUCAGAGAGCUUCUUCAGCAGUCACUUUUGGAUAUUUGCUUCAGUAUGUGCGGGUUAAAACAUGCGUUUCUUCUUCUUUUGGCGCUCUGUGUGUCACGGUGCGCUCUCGUUAAUGAGACAGUUGUGAAAACAGCUGCACGAGAGCCUGGUUUCUCUCCAGUCUGCUCCGGGAAACGCCUGGGCGACAUUGUAUUUGUGAGCUGCAGAAUCAACACGGGGAGACACCACGGCAAAGAGUGUCACCUGCAACCGGUCACCAAGUCGGACUGCGAGUUUGACUCCAGGUUCACCCUGGUGAACAGGCAGCAGACGGUUUACCUCGGCUUCACUGGUUUAACACCAGUGGACAGUGGGAGCUACACCUGUGAGUGCUCAUAUGAAAGGGGAACGCACGUUUUUCAGCUCCACAUAUCAGUGGAAGCAGAAGAAGAGGACAGUGAGAUGAUUUCGACACUCGUGAUCCCUCUGGCUGUUACCUCGACAUUAGUCAUCACAGCUGGAAUAAUCGGCGCUAUUUACUGUAGAAGAAAGCGUAACAGAGAAGUCCCAACAGCCGUCGCAUGUGAAUUCAGCAGAUGUGAAACUCCCGAGGGUUUGGACAGCACAUACACUUCUCUAGAUUGCUUGGACCAGGAUGAAUCGUACGCAGACCUCGAGCUGACGACCUGUGACAUCUACCCGGCUUUCUCCUCAUAUUUCCUCGAGCAUGGUGCUCACUCUGAGAUACAGCCAACUGACAUGCUCCAUGAAACUAUGAAAAACUAAAUUACGUGUAUGUGUUCAACACAUUUGGAAAUACUCUGAAAAUUGAUUUACAAGCAUAGCGCUGAUUUAUUGCCUAAAAUGAUGAUUUGAUGAUGAUGGUUUUGUGUGAUAAUGAUGAUUUUAGGAUGUUUUUUUGAUGCCUUUUAGAACUCUUAAGAACAGCUGUCGAUGCGUUGCCUGUCAGCAAAACUUACAGCCGGUUGUUUGCACUUCCUGUCCUUGUUUCCUCAUUUACUGAUCCUUGCUUGUUGGACUCUCUGAUGUACGUUGAGGCAGCACCAGAAACUCUUGUAUUCUGUCAAAAAACAUGAACUGUUUUUGUCAAUGGGGUCUGAUGGUUUUGCAAAUGUGUGAAGACUCUUCAGUACGAUGCAUUUUUGUUGUUGUUUCCGUCGUAUAUUUACUGGUAUCCUUCUACAUACAUACCAUCUGAGUAUCAGAUUAAAGGCCUGAGGUAAAUGGAGCGAUUCAUUAGCAUUGUUUUCUGACUUGCUCAUUGUGUAGCGUCUUAAAACAUUAAAGCAGAAACAGUCGGGUCGUGCACUUCCUUUAAAAAGACUUUACACCAGCCUGUUGAGUGUUUGAGGUUUAUGUAGCCAGAUGACGAAGGUUGGUCCUCCUACCUUCACUGCAGCUCACUGUACUCCCACAGCAGCAGUGAAACUGUUCAGAAGUUUGUCCAGAAUGGGCCGACGGAAACUGCUGUUUGUUCUGCUUCUGAUGCUAACGCUUUACGUCGACAGCAAAGCGUCUCUCAUAGAUCUUGAGAAAACCACGGGCAGAGAACCAAAUGUCACACCGAUAUGCAGCAACUCAACCAUGAGUAUCAUCACCCUGGUCGUUUGUAAGGUCCGCAUGGAGAUGAGUCCUGGAGAAGAGUGUCUUUUAGUGUAUCGACACGGACAUGAUUUUGAGCACAAAUGUAACCCAAGAGUCCGACUUAAGAAAGAGAAUGAGACGAUAUUUCUGGAUUUAACCAGUUUAACACCAGUGGAUAGUGGGAUCUACACCUGUGAAUGCUCACACCCUACGGAAACAAAGAUCAUCCAGCUCAACAUCACCAUGAAAGGGGAUGAAGCCACAAGCGGCAUCACUGAAAUCUCUUCUGUAAAGCUGCUUGUAAUCGGUGUGAUCAUAAUAAUCAUAAUCAGUGGAGUUAUCCUUGGAUUUCUCUACAGAAUGAUCCAUCAUGGCAACAGAAGACAACAGGACCUACCACCAAGUCCACCAGUUACGGAGCUCAUAGAAGACAUUGAGCCGUACAGCACCUACAUGCAGAGAGAGAACGGACUUUACUCUGUUCUCAAAAUGCCCAGUCGUAAAACCAAAAGGAACCGGUCAACUAGGACGACAGCAAUUUACGGAAACCUUUAAAUACUUCUUAUUGUACGAUCUCUACUCUAAUGUGAUGCAUGGAAAACAAGUGAAACAAGAUUUUGGGUCCAUAAAAAUGCAAUAUUGGGAGGUGUACCUUUGUUUUUAACCCAUUAAGCUGUCUGACAAACAAUACAUGAAUGUUCUCAAGUGUAUAAAUGAUUCUGAAAGAACAGUUACAAACCUUAUAAUUAAAUACAUCGACCUUCUUUAAGAACUAUUUGACAGUGUUUAGUUUCUCUUCAGGUCUCAGAAUUUCAUCGGGGGUUUAAAUUUGAGUCGUUAAACAUAUGUUCAGUGAAUCAAGUCCUGAUGGAAGUCGGAACGCCUCUUCAUCUUGUUUAACAGAUGUUUCCAGACAGUGGUUCUUACAUUAUGAGGCUUCUUGUGAUAGUUGGGUUAAUUAUGUUUGGGUUCUCAUGCUUUGUGUUGCUGGUGUCCUUGCUGGUAACAUGGAUUCUCUUCUCCUUUCGGGUGAUGGUGGCUGCCUCGUAAACCUUUGAACCAUCUGAGUAUCAGAUUAAAGGCCUGAGGUAGAUGGAGCGAUUCAUUAGCAUUGUUUUCUGACUUGCUCAUUGUGUAGCGUCUUAAAACAUUAAAGCAGAAACAGUCGGGUCGUGCACUUCCUUUAAAAAGACUUUACACCAGCCUGUUGAGGGUUUGAGGUUUAUGUAGCCAGAUGACGAAGGUUGGUCCUCCUACCUUCACUGCAGCUCACUGUACUCCCACAGCAGCAGUGAAACUGUUCAGAAGUUUGUCCAGAAUGGGCCGACGGAAACUGCUGUUUGUUCUGCUUCUGAUGCUAACGCUUUACGUCGACAGCAAAGCGUCUCUCAUACAGCUUGAGAAAACCACGGGCAGAGAAUCAAAUGUCACACCGAUAUGCAGCAACUCAACCAUGAGUAUCAUCACCCUGAUCAUUUGUAAGGUCCGCAUGGAGAUGAGUCCUGGAGAAGAGUGUCUUUUAGUGUAUCGACACGGAGGUGAUUUUGAGCACAAAUGUAACCCAAGAGUCCGACUUAAGAAAGAGAAUGAGGCGAUAUUUCUGGAUUUAACCAGUUUAACACCAGUGGAUAGUGGGAUCUACACCUGUGAAUGCUCACGCCCUACGAGAACACAGACCCUCCAGCUCAACAUCACCGUGAAAGGGGAUGAAGCCACAAGCGGCGUCACUGAAAUCUCUUCUGUAAAGCUGCUUGUAAUCGGUGUGAUCAUAAUAAUCAUAAUCAUAUCCUUGGAUUUCUCUACAGAAUGAUCCAUCAUGGCAACAGAAGACAACAGGACCUACCACCAAGUCCACCAGUUACGGAGCUCAUAGAAGACAUCGAGCCGUACAGCACCUACAUGCAGAGAGAGAACAGACUUUACUCUGUUCUCAAAAUGCCCAGUCGUAAAACCAAAAGGAACCGGUCAACUAGGACGACAGCAAUUUACAGAAACCUUUAAAUACUUCUUAUUGUACGAUCUCUACUCUAAUGUGAUGCAUGGAAAACAAGUGAAACAAGAUUUUGGGUCCAUAAAAAUGCAAUAUUGGGAGGUGUACCUUCGUUUUUAACCCAUUAAGCUGUCUGACAAACAAUACAUGAAUGUUCUCAAGUGUAUAAAUGAUUCUGAAAGAACAGUUACAAACCUUAUAAUUAAAUACAUCGACCUUCUUUAAGAACUAUUUGUCAGUGUUUAGUUUCUCUUCAGGUCUCAGAAUUUCAUCGGGGCUUUACAUUUGAGUUGUUAAACAUCAGAUGUUCAGUGAAUCAAGUCCUGCUGUUGGCCUCACGUUUAAAUUUUUUAGUUUCCAUCAUGAACUUCCUGUUAUUGCAAACAAUCUACCUUGCGGCUUUCUUUUAAGCCGCCUCCAUCACGUUGCGGGCGCCCCUCCGCCUCCUUCACAUUUCCUUCGCUCAGUGGUCUGCACAGAGGCGGCCUUACAGAGUGAGAACCAGCGGACGCCUCUUCAUCUUCUUUUACAGAUAUUUCCAGACAGUGGUUGUGGUUUAAACUGAUGCUAACGUACAUGAAGCAGCUUAAAAGGGUUCAAUGGACGCAGAGCUGCUGUUCUAAUACCAACGAAUAACCCACUAUAACUCAAUGUAGUGUGAAAGUGUUACCUCUAUAGUUCACUUUAAAGCGUGAGAAUGUGGUCUGCCAAUGACUUGCCUACAAUAAAGCACAAAGGAUGCAGACAAAAUGUUCAGCUCAGAUGAAAAAACUCAUUGAUGCAUUGAAUAAACAAGUAAAAUUGCCAAACAAAGACAAAACCCCAAUUAAAUUAAAUUCUAAAAUUACACAUGGAGGACACAUGCUCUGUUGAAGUGUGUCCUCCUCCUUAGUUGCGUUUCAGUCCUGAAUGGUCUUGAUUUGUCUCGACCUGAGGAGAUAGGUGGUUUUAAGGCAUCCCCCCCCCCAACGGCCGUUUUUGACGUCCCUCAGUUUGCCGGGCAAACCGACAGGUGUGAACUGGUUCAGAUAUAACUGAUUCUACCCGACCUCGUCUUUUUUUGUAAUGAGCUCAACGACCAGAAACCCGGUGAAACUUUAGGAUAAAUAUUGGAGACGCUUGGAGAGGUUAGAACGCAGAAAGGUUUCAAUACCGAAAGAGCUGGCUAAACACUGAAGCUUCAGUGUCCACCACAUGGCAACCUGCAUCGACUCUAGGGAGGAGAGGGCGGGGAGACAGCUCUCUUCAGUGUUUUGAAUUUACAGAAACAAUUUCAGAGUCAGAGUUACAUAUUGAUCCUCAUGAUAUCAAAAACCUCAACGCCCUUCACCCUUUUUAACUAAAGGAGGAGUCUCUUCUUUCUGAAGUUUAGAGGCAUCAGUUUAUAUUUCUCUCUGGCUCCUCAGAGUUUAUUCAAACGAUAAUAAAAGAUUCUGCCACAGAGCGUCUUCACUUGACAGCACAGGAAGUCGAGUCUCAUGCGCCCCUUUUUAGCACACACUAGAUCAGCUCAUGCACUCGUGAGGUAUUUUGGGUAAAGGUAACACAGAUUACUGACUGUUCAGUGUUCAGACCUCAUGGGAUUAUGUUUCACUGGGAGCUCUCGUUUCUUCUUCUGCUGCCGCUGUGUUUGUGUUUCGACUCUGAAGCAGCUUCUGAGAAGAGCUGUGGAAGAAAACUCAACGAAACAGAUGCUGAAGGUAGGCCUACAGAGACUCUGGUGAAAACCAUCGGGAGAGAACCAGAUGUUACACUGUUAUGCUCCAACGACACAGAGUAUUUCAUCAUAAUGAUAGUUUGUAAGAUCAGCACAAAGAGAAGAAGGGGAAACGAAUCUUGUUUGUUUUAUCGACAUGAAAAUGGCUUUGAGAACAAAUGUGAAUCAGGAGUCAAACUUCUGACAGAGAAUCAGACGGUGUUUCUUCAGUUGAGCAGUUUAACACCAGAGGAUGAAGGGCGCUACACCUGUGAGUGUUCAUGUGGGGAUGGAACUUAUACUACCCAUCUGAAUGUCACUGUGGAAGGUAAUUUAAAUUUCCAUAUUUUCAUACUUUAACGUAAUCCAAGCUCCUUCUUUUAUCAUAGCUGUAAAACUCCUGAAUGAUCCUGCUUGUUCUUAAAGCUCCCCAAAACACGUUUCUUGUUCUAAAUCCACUCUGAUCCUGUAUUUAAUCAUGCCUAUUAACCCCUCUAUAUCAGCCCUGCUCAGAACAGGCUGUUUCUGUGUCUGUACCUUUAAAUAUGUAAAUGAGCUGUGACCACGCUUGGAGCAUUCUCGCUCCAUGCUCUAUUGUUUACGGUGAGAAGGCGGACUCAGAGGGCAGAACAAACACCUAGCUGUGGGAGAGUCACCCACUUGGGGGAGGGGCUACUGCCCUUUGUGAUGUCAUGAAGGGAAAAUCUCCAAACGGCCUGUUUCUUAGGUUUCCUCACAAGUACCAAGCGGUGGUGUCAUAAUUUUCUUUUGAAUCUUUUAGACGCGAGCAGUUAUCUACCAAUGUCGAUGGUUUCCUUGACGGUUGUUACUGCAGUCGUGAUCAUAACUGCAAUAAUCAUCGGGUUUAUCUACAGACACAUGCGCCGCAGAAAACCAAGACAACCACUGAGCAGUCUUCAAAUCAUGGAGCCUCAAGACAUUGAACCGUACAGCACCUUCAUACAGACAGAUUGUGCGCUUUAUUCAACCGUCAAUCUGCACGGCUGUAACUCAAACACUAACAAUUCAAACACGUUUACCAGAGAGGAAAUGCAUGCAGGGAAGUUUUUGUAAAUUUUGACUUCUUGUCUUCAUCUUUUUCCAAUGCACAUUGAUGAAAAACAGCUGUAGAUUCACCAGCGUGAGCCAGAGGUGUAAUCUCAACGGCUGUCCUUAUUCAUGAGGGAAGUAUGUGUAGCAUGUGUUCAAAGUUAAAGUAGGCCCACUGUCCACAUGAUGGCACUGUUUUACUUUCUGACGAGUCCCUAUGUUUCAUUCAUUCUGGUCGACAGUUUUUUUCCCACUCUUAACAACUGUGAUGCUCAACCAGCUUUUUGACAAAUACCUUUAAACUUUAAUUCAUAGCCCGGGGUUUUUCUUAGUCUAUAGUGACCCUGCUUUUAUUUGAGACAGGUGUAAAUACAUUUUGUACAUGCUAAUGAGAAGUCCUCUGUGCACACCAAAGUUAGCCAUGGAGUGCAGGAAAACUAGUUCAUGCAUUUGUUACCUCCAGGUUGGAUUAUUGUAUGUAAAUGAGCUGUGUCUGUACCUUUAAAUAUGUAAAUGAGCGGUGUAUGACCACGCCCCCUCUCUGGAAGGGCUUGGGUGGCUUGUGCUUUCUCGCUCCAUGCCCUAUUAUUUACAGCCAGAAGGCAGACUCAGAGGGCAGAACAAACACCUGGCUGUGGGAGUGUCACCCACCGGGGGGAGGGGCUACUGCCCUUUGUGAUGUCAUGAAGGGAAAAUCUCCAAACGGCCUGUUUGAUCACACAUUUUCUGAAAAAUCUUGCAGGCAAAAGAUGGAGAGGAUGGACUUUUCUCAUAAUUGUAGACAGACUAGGGACACAUUAAAGUUAGAAAACCGUGGUACAGGGUAUUUUACAUAAUAGGUGACCUUUAAGUCAAGCUACAGUAGGUCAUUUAAUUGAACUACUGCCCUUGUCCCAGUUUACAAGCACUCGGGGAAGAAUCAAUUUAUUAGCGGUAGUAUGUCUGACUCAUGGCUGUGAAACAUGGAAAAGUUUCAAAAAAAGUCCAGUUUUAGUCGGACUGACAAAGUAAAUCAACUUUAUUUUAACUGCAUGUGAAUGUGCUGAGAGUGAACGGUUCAUAUAACUGUAUUGAUGCAUUUCUUUUUUUUUUUAAAUAUGUAAUGUUAAGUUUGUAGCAGUCCAGUGAUGUUUUUCAUAAAGUCUUAACAAUGAAA